UACGGAGGGUGCAAGCGUUGUCCGGAAUCACUGGGCGUAAAGAGCGUGUAGGCGGCUCGGUAAGUCCGCUGUGAAAGUCCAGGGCUCAACCCUGGAAUGCCGGUGGAAACUGUCGAGCUAGAGUCCGGAAGAGGCGAGUGGAAUUCCUGGUGUAGCGGUGAAAUGCGCAGAUAUCAGGAGGAACACCAAUGGCGAAGGCACUCUACUGGGCCAUUACUGACACUGAGAGACGAAAGCUAGGGGAGCAAAUGGG
rnacentral:rRNA from 1 species